GAUGAAAAAAACUCAAGACUCCAGAUUCCCCUCUUUGCAUAAAGCUACAGAAGCAGCAAAGCAGAAUAAAAAUUUCAAAGAAAGCAUUAUGUUCUACAAAAGUCAAAGAAAACAGGAAGCAGUCAUGAAAUUGUGUUCCAACCAAGCCAUCAAGCCUUUCCUGGAGAGCUGCAAGAAUCUGAGGAUUCUGCAUCAUUUGUACAGUUAGUUGGCGUGC